rnacentral:rRNA from 1 species
UACGAAGGGGGCUAGCGUUGUUCGGAAUUACUGGGCGUAAAGCGCACGUAGGCGGAUUGUUAAGUUAGGGGUGAAAUCCCGGGGCUCAACCCCGGAACUGCCUUUAAUAUUGGCAAUCUCGAGUCCGAGAGAGGUGAGUGGAAUUCCGAGUGUAGAGGUGAAAUUCGUAGAUAUUCGGAGGAACACCAGUGGCGAAGGCGGCUCACUGGCUCGACACUGACGCUCAGGCACGAAAGCGUGGGGAGCAAACAGG